rnacentral:rRNA from 1 species
CCUACGGGAGACAGCAGUGAGGAAUAUUGGUCAAUGGGCGAGAGCCUGAACCAGCCAAGUAGCGUGUAGGAUGACUGCCCUACGGGUUGUAAACUUCUUUUAUAAAGGAAUAAAGUGAGGCACGUGAGCCUUUUUGUAUGUACUUUAUGCAUAAGGAUCGGCUACCUCCGUGCCAGCAGCCGCGGUAAUACGGAGGAUCCGAGCGUUAUCCGGAUUUAUUGGGGUUAAAGGGGGCGUAGAUGGGAUGUUAAGUCAGUUGUGAAAGUUUGCGGCUCAACCGUAAAAUUGCAAUUGAUACUGGCAGUCGUGAGUACAGUUGAGGUAGGCGGAAUUCGUGGUGUAGCGGUGAAAUGCGUAGAUAGCACGAAGAACUCCGAUUGCGAAGGCAGCUUACUAAACUGCCACUGACAUUGAUGCUCGAAAGUGUGGGUAUCAAACAGGAUUAGAUACCCCAGUAGUC